GACAGCGCCACUACUGUCCCACAGAACAGCUAGGAGGGAGGGUGAAAUCAUAUAACACUUUUCCAAAUGGGUGAACUAUCCCUUUAAUGUCAUGUGGAAUAUUUCAUAACAGCAGGCAGGCAACCAAAACUGUCACGAAUCAGCCGAACGGAGCUGAGAGCGCUGAGUGAAACAGACUCGACUGAUCAGGAUGAGGUUGGAGGAACAAUGAGGGAGUCCUUACUCCCAGGAAGGAGGUGCUCCGUCCCCCUGCUUAGUCAACCCAAAACAAUAUAACCACUAUAUAUAGUUUACUCACCAGUGGCUUGCCUUGUUUGAAAGGGCAUACAAUGUAGUACCUCGCUUUGUAAAAAACAAACAAACAACAAAACGUCAUUAUGUACUUAGAGCACUUGGAAUGACUAAUGCAUCUACCAGUGUGAUAGCCUUCCUGUUAUGUUGAACUGCAGCGCUGUCGGCCAGUAAAUUCCCAUGACAAAAAAAAAAAAAAAAAAAAGGUGUAUUAAUAUAUAUUCUAGUAUUCUUGCUCUUUGAUUUAGACAGCAUGUUUCACCCAGCGUGUUAACUAGUUACCUUCCAUUAAUGCCAGGUAUGUUUCUAAACAGCGGGACACUUCAAAAGUGCACUUAUUCAUCAUUUUAGGUAAUAAAAAAAAAAAAAAAAAACAAGCAUUGUACAAAUGCCAUGAGUAAAUACAAGUUUAAAUACAAAGCAUUGUGGAAAACAGCACAUUUCCAGUUAACCAGUGAAAACUGUGAGGACUGAAUCCCGACCUGCGAGUGUGGACCACGUACCUGCUGUAGACUGAUAAGAAGCACUUCAAAAGCGUUGACAUUUCUUCAGUGUAAUUUAAAGUUGAAAAUGAUGUAUUACUGUGUACAGAUAGGAUCUUAUUUCAAUCCCUUGUCAUAACUUAUCACAAACGUUUCAGCAUAGAUAAUGUGUAGAUGAGCACUGUUUUUGUUUUUGGUUGUUUUUUUCCUUUUGUUUCUUCGCAGUAUAUUUUGGGAUAUAUCUGGCAUCGUUGUUUUGCAAAGAUUCCAUAACUUAUUGGUCACCACUUGCCUUAACGGAGUAGUUUAUAUCAGAAAUACAAGCUUAUAAAUGUACUUUUCCUUUGAGAAUACGACAUUUUAUUUAAUCCUUGUAUGCAUCUACAUUUCACUGAGAGAAGGCUGAAUUCAUUGUAAUAUAUUAUGUUGUGGCCACUGCAGCCUUUCACUUGUGAAGUUGGAGGCUGCACGUCGGCAUUACUGAGGAGGUAUUUUUUCUAUUUUGUAAUUUCAUCUUGAAAUGAGCAUGUCUGCCACAAGAAAACCUUUUAAAAUGAGAGAGGUACACGACUGGACACCUCAUAAUUUUGACCCCUUGUUUUCCCAAAGUCUUAUUUAACCAGCAAUAUCAUUUCAUGUAUGAAAAAAAUCAAUAUUGGUGUACUGGCUCGGUCAUUUUUGCGAUGAUAUGAUACUUCCAAAGUCAUUAUGAACUCUGAAGCAGCUGACAGCUCGCGGGCCAGUGUGGAUUUUUCUGUGGAAACCUUUGGGAUGUCUGCAUGUUACUACUGUCCUCUGUGUCCUGUGGGUGUGCAGUAUUCAACACAACUGAACCGUGAAGAGGUACUCGCUGUGUCCAAACACAUGAUCAAACUGCAGAUUUGAACCAAUCAGCCAGACUUGUGCUUAUUUUCAACCCAAAUCAUAAUAAAAAAAACUCUACAGUAAAAAA